AUCACCUGGGGUCACCUGGGGGUUACCUGGGGUCACCUGGGGAUCACCAUUGUCACCUGGGAUCACCUGGGGGUAACCUGGGGUCACCUGGGGGUUACCUGGGGGUCCCUAUGGGUCUCCAGUGUCACUUGGAGGUCACUUGGAGGUCACCUGGGGUCCCCAUUGUCACCUGGGGGUCACCUGGGGUCCUCACUGUCACCUGGGGACACCUGUGUGUCACCUGGGGGUUAGCUGGGGAUCACCUGGGGGUCACCAUUGUCACCUGGGGGUCAACAUUUUCACCUGGGGUCACCAUUGUCACCUGGGGUCACCUGGGGUCCCCAUUGUCACCUGGGGUCACCUGGGGUCACCUGGUGUCACCUGGUGGUCACCCGGGGAUUACCUGGGGGUCACCCGGGGUCCCCAUUGUCACCUGGGGUUACCUGGGAUCCUCACUGUCACCUGGGGAUUACCUGGGGGUCACCUGGGGACACCUGUGUGUCACCUGGGGAUUACCUGGGGGUCACCUGGGGUCCCUACUGUCAUCUGGGGGUCACCUGGGGGUUACCUGUGUGUCCUCAAUGUUCUUGUGUUCCCCUGUGGUGUCCCCAGUGUCACCUGAGGGCUACCUGGGUGUCCCUGGGUGUCCCCCCCUGUGUCCCCUGGGUGUCCCUGGGUGUCCCUGGGUGUCCCCCGUGUGUCCCACCUGUCCCACCUGUCGCAGGUGCGCUGACACCCCCGAGGAGCAGUGGGAUUUCGAGAUGAUCCUCACAAACUGGGGUCCCUGCGCCCCUCGUGUGUCCCCUGGGUGUCCCCCCUGUGUCCCCUGGGUGUCCCCUGGGUGUCCCCUGGGUGUCCCUGGGUGUCUCACCUGUGUCCCCUGGGUGUCCCCUGGGUGUCCCUGGGUGUCCCCGUGUGUCCCACCUGUGUCCCACCUGUGGCAGGUGCGCUGACACCCCCGAGGAGCAGUGGGAUUUCGAGACCAUCCGCACGGUGGAUCCGUGGGGGACGGAGCUGGGCCGGCGGUUCCGGGGGGGGCUGCGGCGCUGGAACAUGACGGUG
rnacentral:lncRNA from 1 species